AUAGGGGAGCCGAAGGGAAACCGAGUCUUAACUGGGCGUUAAGUUGCAGGGUAUAGACCCGAAACCCGGUGAUCUAGCCAUGGGCAGGUUGAAGGUUGGGUAACACUAACUGGAGGACCGAACCGACUAAUGUUGAAAAAUUAGCGGAUGACCUGUGGCUGGGGGUGAAAGGCCAAUCAAACCGGGAGAUAGCUGGUUCUCCCCGAAAGCUAUUUAGGUAGCGCCUCGUGAACUCAUCUUCGGGGGUAGAGCACUGUUUCGGCUAGGGGGUCAUCCCGACUUACCAACCCGAUGCAAACUGCGAAUACCGAAGAAUGUUAUCACGGGAGACACACGGCGGGUGCUAACGUCCGUCGUGAAGAGGGAAACAACCCAGACCGCCAGCUAAGGUCCCAAAGUCAUGGUUAAGUGGGAAACGAUGUGGGAAGGCCCAGACAGCCAGGAUGUUGGCUUAGAAGCAGCCAUCAUUUAAAGAAAGCGUAAUAGCUCACUGGUCGAGUCGGCCUGCGCGGAAGAUGUAACGGGGCUAAACCAUGCACCGAAGCUGCGGCAGCGA
rnacentral:rRNA from 1 species